rnacentral:tRNA from 1 species
GCCGUGGUGGCUCAUUGCUAGAAUUCCCACCUUCCAUGUGGAAGACCCAGGUUCAAUUCUUGGCCAAUGUA